rfam:Schistosoma mattheei strain Denwood, Zambia genome assembly, scaffold: SMTD_scaffold0005142
NCACUGCUGAGGAGUCCCACAAUAGGACGAAACGGCCGUCCAGUGC